AGCUUUGCACACUGGCAGUAUUGUAGUCAAUGAGGUUUAUCUGAGGCGCAAUUAUUGCUAAUUGAAACAAACAAACAAACAAAAACCCGGCUAUUAAUUAUUAUUCCUUAAUAUCAUCUAAUCUAUGUUCAUCUCUCAA